ACCGGCGCGACGGGUGACGUAACGCGUAUGACUAAUCCUUACUUUGCAGGAGGGAUACGCCCAGAAGUAAAGUUUGGUAAUUAACUACCUCAUAGUAUGUGAAGAAUGGCAUCUAUUUUCACAUUAAAGUCACAACGGCAAAAGAUGAGCAUGCGUCCCAUUAGCUUGUUGGUAAGGUAACGGCUUACCAAGGCUACGAUGGGUAGGGGUCCUGAGAGGGAGAUCCCCCACACUGGUACUGAGACACGGACCAGACUCCUACGGGAGGCAGCAGUGAGGAAUAUUGGACAAUGGGCGCAAGCCUGAUCCAGCCAUGCCGCGUGCAGGAUGACGGUCCUAUGGAUUGUAAACUGCUUUUGUACAGGAAGAAACACUGGUUCGUGAACCAGCUUGACGGUACUGUAAGAAUAAGGAUCGGCUAACUCCGUG
rnacentral:rRNA from 1 species